UACGAGGGGGGCUAGCGUUGUUCGGAAUCACUGGGCGUAAAGCGCACGUAGGCGGCUUGUUAAGUCAGGGGUGAAAUCCCAGAGCUCAACUCUGGAACUGCCUUUGAUACUGGCAAGCUCGAGUGUGGAAGAGGUUGGUGGAACUCCGAGUGUAGAGGUGAAAUUCGUAGAUAUUCGGAAGAACACCAGUGGCGAAGGCGGCCAACUGGUCCAUUACUGACGCUGAGGUGCGAAAGCGUGGGGAGCAAACAGG
rnacentral:rRNA from 1 species